AGUGAACGCUGGCGGUAGGCCUAACACAUGCAAGUCGAACGGCAGCACAGUAAGAGCUUGCUCUUACGGGUGGCGAGUGGCGGACGGGUGAGGAAUACAUCGGAAUCUACUUUUUCGUGGGGGAUAACGUAGGGAAACUUACGCUAAUACCGCAUACGACCUACGGGUGAAAGCAGGGGAUCUUCGGACCUUGCGCGAUUGAAUGAGCCGAUGUCGGAUUAGCUAGUUGGCGGGGUAAAGGCCCACCAAGGCGACGAUCCGUAGCUGGUCUGAGAGGAUGAUUAGCCACACUGGAACUGAGAAACGGUCCAGAGUCCUACGGGAGGACGCAGUGGGGAAUAUUGGACGAUGGGGGAAAGCCUGAUUCAGCCAUACCGCGUGGGUGCAGAAGGCCUUCGGGUUGUAAAGCCCUUUUGUUGGGAAAGAAAAGCAGCAGGUUAAUACCCCGCUGUUAUGACGGUACCCAAAGAAUAAGCACCGGCUAACUUCGUG
rnacentral:rRNA from 1 species